ensembl:snoRNA SNORA70 Small nucleolar RNA SNORA70
UUGUGGCCACUUAAGCUAACUGAGUUCCUCUGCUCAUGGGGGUGUGGUUUGUAGUGGCUAUAAGCAACAGCUUUCCUGGGCAGUGCAUAGAUCCUGUUACUUAUGUAGCUUGUCCUAAGGGACACAAGGUGCCUCUG